rnacentral:rRNA from 1 species
UACGUAGGGCGCAAGCGUUAAUCGGAAUUACUGGGCGUAAAGCGUGCGCAGGCGGUUGUGCAAGACCGAUGUGAAAUCCCCGGGCUCAACCUGGGAAUUGCAUUGGAGACUGCAAGGCUAGAAUCUGGCAGAGGGGGGUAGAAUUCCACGUGUAGCAGUGAAAUGCGUAGAGAUGUGGAGGAACACCGAUGGCGAAGGCAGCCCCCUGGGUCAAGAUUGACGCUCAUGCACGAAAGCGUGGGGAGCAAACAGG